GAUGAACGCUGACAGAAUGCUUAACACAUGCAAGUCAACUGUGGCGGACGGGUGAGUAACGCGUAAAGAACUUGCCUCACAGUUAGGGACAACAUUUGGAAACGAAUGCUAAUACCUGAUACUGUGAGAGAGCUUUGCGUCCCAUUAGCUAGUUGGAGAGGUAACGGCUCACAAAGGCGAGGAUGGGUAGCCGGACUGAGAGGGUGAUCGGCCACAAGGGGAUUGGGGAACGGACCUGAAGCAUACGGGAGGAAGGAAUGGGGAAGAUUGGAAAAAAGGCCAAAGAGUGAUGAAGGAAUUCUGUUGGCAAGAUGAAGUUUUAGGAAAGUAAAGGGCUUUAAGUUUGGAAAAGGUACCAAAAGAAGAAGUGACGGCUAAAUACGUGCCAGCAGCCGCGGUAAUUC
rnacentral:rRNA from 1 species